CUAAAACAAACUCUAUCCCCUCAUCAUUCUUGGAAGUCAAUGGCAGACCCUUCCUUCUCGAGGUUUCCUCCUACACUCUAGCACCCUUCCUGCAUCUCAUAAAUUGCAACCAAUAAUCUGGGCAUACUUGAUCAACUGGUAUUUACGUAAUUAAGUCUAACCGAGCAAACCAAAGGUAAUUACUGAAGGAACUUGGGAACUUGUUGUCUGAUGCUGCUGGAGUGGUU